rnacentral:rRNA from 1 species
CCUACGGGAGGCAGCAGUAGGGAAUCUUCCACAAUGGGCGAAAGCCUGAUGGAGCAACGCCGCGUGGGUGAAGAAGGUCUUCGGAUCGUAAAACCCUGUUGUUAGAGAAGAAAGUGCGUGAGAGUAACUGUUCACGUUUCGACGGUAUCUAACCAGAAAGCCACGGCUAACUACGUGCCAGCAGCCGCGGUAAUACGUAGGUGGCAAGCGUUAUCCGGAUUUAUUGGGCGUAAAGGGAACGCAGGCGGUCUUUUAAGUCUGAUGUGAAAGCCUUCGGCUUAACCGGAGUAGUGCAUUGGGAACUGGGAGACUGGAGUGCAGAAGAGGAGAGGGGAACUCCAUGUGUAGCGGGGAAAUGCGUAGAUAUAUGGAAGAACACCAGUGGCGAGAGCGGCUCUCUGGUCUGUAACUGACGCUGAGGUUCGAAAGCGUGGGUAGCAAACAGGAUUAGAUACCCCGUAGUC